rnacentral:rRNA from 1 species
UAGGGAAUCUUCCGCAAUGGACGCAAGUCUGACGGAGCAACGCCGCGUGAGUGAAGAAGGAUUUCGGUUCGUAAAACUCUGUUGUUAGAGAAGAACAGCGCAUAGAGUAACUGUUAUGCGUGUGACGGUAUCUAAUCAGAAAGCCACGGCUAACUACGUGCCAGCAGCCGCGGUAAUACGUAGGUGGCAAGCGUUAUCCGGAAUUAUUGGGCGUAAAGCGCGCGUAGGCGGUUUUUUAAGUCUGAUGUGAAAGCCCACGGCUCAACCGUGGAGGGUCAUUGGAAACUGGAAAACUUGAGUGCAGAAGAGGAAAGUGGAAUUCCAUGUGUAGCGGUGAAAUGCGCAGAGAUAUGGAGGAACACCAGUGGCGAAGGCGACUUUCUGGUCUGUAACUGACGCUGAUGUGCGAAAGCGUGGGUAGCAAACAGG